GACGGAGGAUGCAAGUGUUAUCCGGAAUCACUGGGCGUAAAGCGUCUGUAGGUGGUUUAAUAAGUCAACUGUUAAAUCUUGAGGCUCAACCUCAAAAUCGCAGUCGAAACUAUUAGGCUAGAGUAUAGUAGGGGUAAAGGGAAUUUCCAGUGGAGCGGUGAAAUGCGUAGAGAUUGGAAAGAACACCGAUGGCGAAGGCGACACGCUGGGCCGUACCUGACACUGAUGCGCGACAGCAUGGGGAGCAAACAGG
rnacentral:rRNA from 1 species